CCUACGGGAGGCAGCAGGGGGGAAUAUUGCGCAAUGGGCGAAAGCCGGACGCAGCGACGCCGCGUGAGGGAUGAAGGUCUUCGGAUCGUAAACCUCGGGCAGCAGGGAAGAACGGUCACGGUGCUAAGCAGCAGUGAAUUGACGGUACCUGCAAAGGAAGCACCGGCUAACUCCGUGCCAGCAGCCGCGGUAAUACGGAGGGGGCGAGCGUUAAUCGGAAUUACUGGGCGUAAAGCGCUCGGAGGCGGUAUGUCAAGUCAAGGGGGAAAUCCCCGCGCUCAACGUGGGAACUGCCUUUGAAACUGGCAUACUGGCGUGUGUGAUAGGUUAGUGGACUUCCAGGUGU
rnacentral:rRNA from 1 species